UUUGGCUGAAGCCAAAAGGCAUAUCACUGUUAAUGAUAAAAUUGAAUUUUUUGUUCCUGCCAA
rnacentral:tRNA from 1 species